UCCUACGGGGGGCAGCAGUAGGGAAUCUUCCACAAUGGACGAAAGUCUGAUGGAGCAACGCCGCGUGAGUGAAGAAGGGUUUCGGCUCGUAAAGCUCUGUUGGUAGUGAAGAAAGAUAGAGGUAGUAACUGGCCUUUAUUUGACGGUAAUUACUUAGAAAGUCACGGCUAACUACGUGCCAGCAGCCGCGGUAAUACGUAGGUGGGAAGCGUUGUCCGGAUUUAUUGGGCGUAAAGCGAGUGCAGGCGGGUUCAUUAGUCUUGUG
rnacentral:rRNA from 1 species